ACGUAGGGAGCAAGCGUUAUCCGGAUUUACUGGGUGUAAAGGGCGUGUAGGCGGGCUUGUAAGUUGGAAGUGAAAUCCAGGGGCUUAACCCCUGAACUGCUUUCAAAACUGCGAGUCUUGAGUGAUGGAGAGGCAGGCGGAAUUCCCAGUGUAGCGGUGAAAUGCGUAGAUAUUGGGAGGAACACCAGUGGCGAAGGCGGCCUGCUGGACAUUAACUGACGCUGAGGCGCGAAAGCGUGGGGAGCAAACAG
rnacentral:rRNA from 1 species